rnacentral:rRNA from 1 species
UACGUAGGGUGCGAGCGUUAAUCGGAAUUACUGGGCGUAAGGCGUGCGUAGGCGGUUCGCUGUGUCCGAUGUGAAAGCCCCGGGCUUAACCUGGGAAUGGCAUUGGAAACUGGCGGGCUUGAGUGUGGUAGAGGUAGCUGGAAUUCCCGGUCGUAGCGGUGAAAUGCGUAGAUAUCGGGAGGAAUACCUAUGGCGAAAGCAGGCUACUGGACCAUCACUGACGCUGAUCUGCGAAAGCUAGGGGAGCAAACAGG